AUAAGGAAGGACACUUCAUAUUCAUCAAAGGAAAAAUCCACCAAGAUGAACUCUCAAUCCUCAUCUUUGAUUGGUUUAUAUACAAGUGUGCAAUUUCUAGGCUUGAAAGUAAAAUGAUGCUAUCUGGUGCUGGAUAGAGGAGCCUUAUUUUUUAUUAUGGCAGCUUGCUAUUUUUGUAACAUGGUGAUUUGGUUGAACACAAUAAAGUACAGUAGAAACUGAUCUCCCCCUCUUCCUGGAUGAGUGAGGAGAUGAUUAAAUGUUGAUGUCAGCAUCCUUGAGCAUAUUCAGAUGAGCUUCUGCUUCUGUUGAAAAGGAUGCUGUGUUUGAUUGUGGUCCGAAGCUUUGAAGCACUACUUGGCAUCUCCUUCCUUGGAGGUCUCACUGUUUAAACGUAACAGAUUUGAUAGCUUGUUGGUAAGGUGAGGUCCAGCUUGUCUCCACUAGGUCAUCUUCAUGUGAAUCCGGUGGUUAUACGGUUUUGUUCUAGGGAUAUUUCAUUUUUUUAAUAACGGUUUUAGCUGACAUUCAUGGAGAGAAUGAAUCCUUAGAACUGUGCCACUAGUGAAAGGAAAUCCUGUCUAGAGUAUGUUUCUUUACAAAGCUGUGUCACACCAUCCUUUGGGCCCUCUGCUGGAAAAGUAGAAUCAAGUCUCAAAUAAUGCCUUUUAAAUUGUAUCCUCUAGUAUUAUAGAUGUAGGACAGUACUGUAUCAUACCUCUGUGGAUGUAAAAUAGCUUGUACCUGCUUUAUGAUACGUAGUAGUGACCGUGCU
rnacentral:lncRNA from 1 species